GCUGUACUGUUCAUAGCUCUUUGACAUGCAAAUGGUCCCAAUUAGCUGGGCAAGGUUCUUCUAUUUGAUCCCCUGCAUUUCCAGGAAGCCAUGAUGGAUCUUGCAGUUGAGACAGUGAACAUUCCUUGAAGAAGCUAUUGAAGGAAUUUGCUUCCUAGAGUCUCAGAAUGCUGGCAGCUCUUACUGUAGUAGAUGUCAAGCACCCCGUUUUGUCCUCAUCUCUGUUACAACAUCAUUUGACAUUCUGG
rnacentral:lncRNA from 1 species